CGCCCGUCAAACCACGAAAGUCAGCAAUACCCAAAACCGGUGGCCUAACCUGCAAAGGAGGGAGCCGUCUAAGGUAGGGUUGAUGAUUGGGGUUAAGUCGUAACAAGGUAUCCCUACCGGAAGGUGGGGAUGGAUCACCUCCUUUCUAAGGAGCAUAACAGUAAGAAUAACUUACAAAAACUCUACUCUCUCGUCAUAUUCAGUUUUGAAGGAUUUUCCUUCAAUAUAUUUAAUAAAAGUAAUAAGUUCUUUGAAAAGUAGAUAAAUUCUGUCGUAACAAAUAAUAAAAAAGUUUAAUUAGCAAUAAUUAAGCGCGUAAAAAGGUUAAGAAAGUAAGGGCACACAGUGAAUGCCUAGGCACUAAGAGCCGAAGAAGGACGCAACUAACGGCGAAACGCCACGGGAAGCAGUAAGUAUGUGAAGAUCCGUGGGUAUCCGAAUGAGGGAACUCGGCAUGUAGAAGACAUGUCACGUCGAAAAACGAGGGAAACGCAGUGAAUUGAAAUAUCUUAGUAACUGCAGGAAAAGAAAGUAAAAACGAUUCUGCGAGUAGCGACGAGCGAAAGUGGAGGAGCCCGAUACCAUAAUAGUUACAAAACUUUAUGUGAGAAGAACAACCUGGGAAGGUUGACCAAAGAAGGUGAAAGUCCUGUAAACGAAGCAUAAAGACUAGGGUAUCAAAGAGUACAGCGGGACACGAGAAAUCUUGCUGGAACUAUAAGGAGGACCAUCUCCUAAGGCUAAAUACUACUUAGUGACCGAUAGUGAACCA
rnacentral:sRNA from 2 species